CUUAAUUAAUUAAAAAAUAAAAUAUUAUAAUGUCUGCUUAAUAGAAUUGGACUAAGGGGUUCAUGGAUAGCUAUAGCUGAAGUGCAUGCCAGUCACUUACUACAUAGCAAGCAUGUAAUAGACAGUACCUGUUAUUUUCAUGUGACUACGGUCUCCCCUCACACCUCCAACAAAAUGGUCUUAUUUUGCUUUGUUCUUCAUGUGUGUACUUUCACAUAAAAUCAAUUAGUGUUCCAACAUAGGUUAAAAAAACUACUGAAGAGUCAUCAUACUCUCUAUAGAAACCAUUCAGGGUUUU
rnacentral:lncRNA from 10 species